GAUGAACGCUGGCGGCGUGCCUAAUACAUGCAAGUCGAGCGAACAGACGAGGAGCUUGCUCCUCUGACGUUAGCGGCGGACGGGUGAGUAACACGUGGAUAACCUACCUAUAAGACUGGGAUAACUUCGGGAAACCGGAGCUAAUACCGGAUAAUAUAUUGAACCGCAUGGUUCAAUAGUGAAAGACGGUCUUGCUGUCACUUAUAGAUGGAUCCGCGCCGCAUUAGCUAGUUGGUAAGGUAACGGCUUACCAAGGCGACGAUGCGUAGCCGACCUGAGAGGGUGAUAGGCCACAAUGGAACUGAGAAAGGGUCCAGACACCUACGGGAGGCAGCAGUAGGGAAUCUUACGCAAUGGGCGAAAGCCUGACGGAGCAACGCCGCGGGAGUGAUGAAGGUCUUCGGAUCGUAAAACUCUGUUAUUAGGGAAGAACAAAUGUGUAAGUAACUAUGCACGUCUUGACGGUACCUAAUCAGAAAGCCACGGCUAACUACGUG
rnacentral:rRNA from 1 species